rnacentral:rRNA from 1 species
AGCUUGCUCCCUCAAGUUAGUGGCGGACGGGUGAGUAACGCGUGAGUAACCUGCCUUUCAGAGGGGAAUAACAUUCUGAAAAGAAUGCUAAUACCGCAUAACAUCGUAGUAUCGCAUGGUACAGCGAUCAAAGGAGCAAUCCGCUGAAAGAUGGGCUCGCGUCCGAUUAGAUAGUUGGUGAGGUAACGGCCCACCAAGCCGACGAUCGGUAGCCGACCUGAGAGGGUGAUCGGCCACAUUGGGACUGAGACACGGCCCAAACUCC